rnacentral:misc_RNA from 1 species
CGACCACAUAGGCUGCCUCGGGGCGUCCUGCACCACGGUAGGCAUCCACUGGCACCGUGUUCGUGAACACUGUGCGGACGCGGCAAUGAAAUGCCUGAAGAUCGUAGAGGCCGGGCAGCAUUCCCGCGCCGCCAUGGGGAAUAUACGGCCCGAAGGUCGAGAGAUAAGCUCCCAUGUCGCCCAUCAGGUCGACAUCCAUGCCGAGAAAUUUGCCGUCCUCGGCGAGCGCCAUGCGCGCGGUGGUGACAUUGUCGCGUCCCUGCGCGUCGCC